CUGCCGUGAUCCCGUUCCGCUGAGAACUCUCCGCUCUGCCGACGGGGUUCUCGGCGGAGCUGGAGGACGGCGAGCUGCGGCAGCGCCUGGCUGGGAGUCGGGGACGGAAGGACGUCCCUGCUGGGUGCGAUGGUCGGUGCCAGCAGCUUACCUUGCGGCAGUGCCUCUCGAGGGACGGCAACUCGCUGCCGCAUCGGGCCUAGCCUGGAGAAGCGCUGAGGGCAUGGCCUGGAGGAAGAGCUUCCUGUGACACGUGCUGAGGGAAGAAGGGCUUGGAAGGUCCCGAGACUUUCCUGACGCUGCUGCUGCUGAUUGUUCUAGUAUCAGUACUCCUCGCGAGCCGCCCAGCCCGGAAGACCUUGGCUUUCUGGUUAGCCAUGCUGGUGUAAGAGAUGGGAUUCAGUUUCUAAAAUAACAUGACAGCCAAGGAACACGAACUGCAUUGUGGGCACUAGGAAAAAACGUACUAAUGAAAGAGCAAGAGAAAAAGACAGCAUUUGGGAGGAGAAAGAAAAAGUGGCAAAGAAGAUGUAUUAAAUUGACUUGCUCUGCCACAAAUAUUUGAGUUGCUUCUAGCAAAGAGGCUGAAUACUUAGGAAACAGCUCCCACCGGCAUAUCUUUAAUCCCACAUUUCAUUUGGGAAGGACACGGUGGGAAGGAAUUAAAUCACACCUUAAAGUCAAAGGGGAAAUUAAAGCACUUCCAGAUUGUUCUGUUUAUUCUCAUGAGACUUUUCUCUUGUACACAAAUUUCUUCCCAUAGUAAUUUAAGUGACCCAUCCCAUCUACAGAGUAUUUUAAAUAGCAACAUAUCAGGAAGAGGAAGGAGUAGGUGCAUUUUGUAUGCAUCUCUUCCUGUGUGUCUUUCUAGUGACCAUUGCAUGUUUUUCUUCCUAGUUCAUCUCUUCAAUUCAAAACACAAGAUGGGACCACCAAUGCAGAAACAGAUUUUGUUAUUCCUGGAGUAAUCAACAAUAUUGGCACGCUAACAAUGCUUAAAAGCCUUCCUGAGUGACUGUGUGAGAACGCAUCUUCGCUUGUUAGUCAGACCUCAAAGAUGCCAAGGGAUUCUUGGAUACAGCUUGAAGCGCACUUAGGAAACACCAAAAAUAUCAUAGCAUGAAUGGCUUCAUAAGUGCUCAAUACUGGGUGGCUUAGAAAUAAACCUGUUUGUUGC